CACCCUGUAGAACCGAAUUUGUGUUUACAAUUAACAACCGCAAAUUCGCCUCUACGGGA
ensembl:miRNA